UUAAGUUCAGCGGGUACUCCUACCUGAUUUGAGGUCAAACUUAAAAGAACACUCUUCGCCACUGCUGUCUCUCUGCAGCCUUAAAUUGAGCAUCCCGUAGCUCCCGCCACAGAAACCCCCGCCAGCUGUCCUCGAAUUGGCAGAACCUAGUACGAAGACGUCCAGCAGAGCUCUCCUUUGCGUAGCAGGAUAAGAAGCUC
rnacentral:misc_RNA from 1 species